UACAGAGGUCCCAAGCGUUGUUCGGAUUCACUGGGCGUAAAGGGUGCGUAGGCGGUCGGGUAAGUCUGAUGUGAAAUCUCACAGCUUAACUGUGAAACUGCAUUGGAUACUAUUCGGCUUGAGAGUUGGAGGGGGGACUGGAAUUCUUGGUGUAGCAGUGAAAUGCGUAGAUAUCAGGAGGAACACCGGUGGCGAAGGCGGGUCUCUGGGCCGUUACUGACGCUGAGGAGCGAAAGCGUGGGGAGCGAACAGG
rnacentral:rRNA from 1 species